GCAAACUUGGUCAUUUAGAGGAAGUAAAAGUCGUAACAAGGUCUCCGUAGGUGAACCUGCGGAGGGAUCAUUGCGGAUCUCGCGCCCUCCGGGCCGAUCCCCCACCCACUGUCAUCGCCACGACUGUUGCCUCGGCGGGCCGUCGCGGCCCGCCGGGGGCCCCGCAGACCCCCGCGUCGUCCUGUCGUCCGAGACCCAUUCAAUCGUUAAAACUUUCAACAACGGAUCUCUUGGUUCCGGCAUCGAUGAAGAACGCAGC
rnacentral:misc_RNA from 1 species